rnacentral:rRNA from 1 species
GAACGCGGGCGGCGUGCCUAAUGCAUGCAAGUCUAACGCACAGACCUUGCUCCGUGAGUGGCGCACGGCUGAGGAACACGUGAGCACCUUCCCGCCCGUGGGGGAUAACCGGCCGAAAGGCCAGCUAAUCCCAGCAUCCGGUCGCCCUCGGGCGACGAAAGCGGCAACGCGCGGGCGGACGGGCUUGCGGCCCAUCAGGUGGUUGGCGGGGUAACGGCCCACCAAGCCGAUGACGGGUAGCUGGUCUGUGAGGACAACCAGCCAGACUGGGACUGAGACACGGCCCAGACUCCUACGGGAGGCAGCAGCAAGGGAUUUUCCCCAAUGGGCGCACGCCUGAGGGAGCAACGCCGCGUGCGGGAUGACGGCCUUCGGGUUGUAAACCGCUUUUGGGGGUGAAGACGAUGACGGUAGCCCCCGAACAAACCCCGGCUAACUCUGUGCCAGCAGCCGCGGUAAUACAGAGGGGGCAAGCGUUGUCCGGACUGACUGGGCGUAAAGCGCACGCAGGCGGUCGCGGGCGUCGGUGCUGAAAGUCCACCGCUUAACGGUGGAUCGCGUGCCGAUACGCCGCGACUGGAGCCAUGUAGAGGUCCGUGGAAUUGCCGGUGUAGUGGUGAUAUGCGUAGAUAUCGGCAGGAACACCCAAGGGGAAGCCAACGGACUGGGCAUCGGCUGACGCUCAGGUGCGACAGCGUGGGGAGCCAACGGGAUUAGAUACCCCGGUAGUCCACGCCGUAAACGAUGGACGCUCGGUGUCUGGGGGCUAUCAACGUCCCUGGGCGCCUCAGCUAACGCGCAAGCGUCCCGCCUGGGAACUACGAGCGC